rnacentral:lncRNA from 1 species
CUUCAAACACUUGAAGCAACGAAAUUCUUUCUGCAGGCAGCAUCUUCUAUUUAAAGCUGAUAUAAAUUAACCUGCAGUGGAGGAAGUGACAGUAGCUGUGGCCCUCUUCUCAUCCCUGCAUCAAGCCCUACACUGUCUCCAGAGAACCCCAACACACCUUGGAACACACUUUGAGAACCUCAGCUCUGUCCCUUGGCUUUGGCGUUCUCAUCAUUGACUCCUCCUCACGACCUGCUGUGACCACAUUUGGCCUGCGGUAGAAUCUCACAGGCUACUUUGUUUUUUGCACCAGGCCUGUUUACAUACAGACUGGACUAGUGUCGAGUGAAGCAGCCACCUCUGGUCUCAUCAAUUGUGACCAAGUUAAAGAUGAGGUUAAGUGAUACAGAGACCAGGUAAGGCUUUCCCUUCACCAGGAACUGGGAAAGGUGAUGGCUUCCAUGACCACCACGUCUAGGCAUGAUGAUAGUGGAGCAGAAACCCAAACCAGGAGAGCCUGUAGGAGGCUGAAGCAUCAACCAGCUACAGGCCACCUGGAAGGAGAGGACAGCUGAGCAGCCAGAAAGAGGAUCUGAAGGAGUCAUUAGGGACAUCCAAACCACCUUCACUUGUGCAAAUGAGAGGGGUCCAGGGGCU